rnacentral:antisense_RNA from 1 species
GAUUAUGGUGGGCUGUGUGGGGGCGGAGAAAUCCGCGCCGGGUCCUUUGUAGCCGGUAAGACCAACUCUGCACAGUUCACCACCACC